AGAAUGAACGCUGGCGGCGUGCCUAACACAUGCAAGUCGUGCGCGAAAGGGACUUCGGUCCCCGGUAGAGCGGCGAACGGGUGAGUAACACGUGGGUAACCUGUCUGAGAGUGGGGGAUAACCUGGGGAAACUCGGGCUAAUACCGCAUACGUCCACCGGGCUUCGGCUCGGUGAGGAAAGGUGGCCUCUGCUUGCAAGCCACCACUCACAGAGGGGCCCGCGUCUGAUUAGCUAGUUGGCGGGGUAACGCCCACCAAGGCGACGAUCAGUA
rnacentral:rRNA from 1 species